UUCAAUUAUCAGUCGCUUAGUAAAUACUCAAACAAAGUCAAUUUUUGGCACUUUUAAAUAAUAAUGAACCACUUUACAAUCUGGAUUUUAGUUGUCCUUUUGCUGGCCGCUUAUUUGCAACAAUCGGAAGCUGGCUUCUUUGACAAACUAAAGGACGUUGGUCGUUACACUAUGAAUGCCACUCUUCAAGUUGCUGAAGUCGCCACGAAGGCAGCGAAUGUCGCAAUUACUGCCAGGGGAUAGAUUUAAGUUUAACUUAGGCUAAAUUCAUAUAUGUUUUGUAUAUGGCUAUAAAUUAAAUCAUAAGAAUGUACUAUCAGCAUUGCUUAAA